AUUGAACGCUGGCGGCAUGCCUUACACAUGCAAGUCGAACGGCAGCACGGGUGCUUGCACCUGGUGGCGAGUGGCGAACGGGUGAGUAAUAUAUCGGAACGUACCUUAUCGUGGGGGAUAACGCAGCGAAAGCUGCGCUAAUACCGCAUACGCCCUGAGGGGGAAAGCGGGGGACCGUAAGGCCUCGCGCGAUUAGAGCGGCCGAUAUCUGAUUAGCUUGUUGGUGGGGUAAAAGCCCACCAAGGCGACGAUCAGUAGCUGGUCUGAGAGGACGAUCAGCCACACUGGGACUGAGACACGGCCCAGACUCCUACGGGAGGCAGCAGUGGGGAAUUUUGGACAAUGGGGGCAACCCUGAUCCAGCAAUGCCGCGUGAGUGAAGAAGGCCUCGGUUGUAAGCUCUUUGUCUAGGGAAGAAACGAGACAGCUCUAACACAGUCUGCGAAUGACGGUACCGUCGAA
rnacentral:rRNA from 1 species